GAGGAAUAUUGCACAAUGGCGGAAACUCUGAUGCAGCAACGCCGCGUGGAGGAUGACGCAUUUCGGUGUGUAAACUCCUUUUAAGAGGGAAGAUAAUGACGGUACCUCUUGAGUAAGCACCGGCUAACUCCGUGCCAGCAGCCGCGGUAAUACGGAGGGUGCAAGCGUUACUCGGAAUCACUGGGCGCAAAGGGUGCGUAGGCUGGCUUCUAAGUCAGAUGUGAAAUCCAAUGGCUUAACCAUUGAACUGCAUUUGAAACUGGAAGCCUAGAGUUCAGAAGGGGCAGAUGGAAUUAGUGGUGUAGGGGUAAAAUCCGUAGAUAUCACUAGGAAUAUCAAAAGCGAAGGCGAUCUGCUGGGAUGAUACUGACGCUGAGGCACGAAAGCGUGGGGAGCAAACAG
rnacentral:rRNA from 1 species